rnacentral:rRNA from 1 species
UACGUAGGUCCCGAGCGUUGUCCGGAUUUAUUGGGCGUAAAGCGAGCGCAGGUGGUUUAUUAAGUCUGGUGUAAAAGGCAGUGGCUCAACCAUUGUAUGCAUUGGAAACUGGUAGACUUGAGUGCAGGAGGGGAGAGUGGAAUUCCAUGUGUAGCGGUGAAAUGCGUGGAUAUAUGGAGGAACACCGGUGGCGAAAGCGGCUCUCUGGACUGUAACUGACACUGAGGUACGAAAGCGUGGGGAGCAAACAGG